UGCGUUAGGCAGUCGCCCGACACACUUACAAGUGUGACGGGAGGAAAGUCCGGACACGCCCGUCGCAAGAUGGAGAACGGUAGCGGGUAACGCCCGCCGUGCGUAAGCAUAGGGAUGCGAACAGAGACGCCCGAGUCGAGAGGCGAGGGGACCCGAAAGGGUCAGCUCCGAUGGAAACAUCGGAGGUGCAACGGCAAAAAUCCUACCUGCGUGCAAGGCCGUGCUCUGUGGGAUACACCAAUUGGAUAUCUCACGGAGAGAGCCGCUUGAGGUGAAUGGUGACAUUCAUCCCAGAUAAAUGAUUGUCCUCGACAGAAUCCGGCUUAUGACGCAACGA
rnacentral:RNase_P_RNA from 2 species